CCAGUCGAUGCUGCUGGAGGGCACUGCUAUCAGAUUUCGACAGCCAUGCAAGUUCGCUCAGCGGCUUCGCUGGGCAGCGUACGGCUCAGUAACACGUAGUCAAUCUACCGUAAAGAGGCGAAUACCCAUGGGAAACUGUGGCUAAUGCGCCAUAGGCCAGGGAUUCUGGAAGGAGCCCUGACUUAAAGGAGCGCGAAUUGCAGCGCUUCCGCUUUACGAUGAGACUGCGGCGGAUCAGGCAGAUGGCGGGGUAACGGCCCACCAUACCUAUAACCCGUAGGGGAUGUGGGAGCAUAAGCCCCGAGAAGGGCACUGAGACAAGGGCCCUAGCACUACGGUGUGCAGCAGGCGCGCAAACUCCACAAUGCGCGUAAGCGUGAUGGGGGGAAUCUGAGUGGUUCACUUUGUGAACCUUUUGCCAAGUAUAGCAAGCUUGGCGAAUAAGUGCUGGGCAAGACCGGUGGCAGCCGCCACGGUAAUACCGGCAGCACAAGUGGUGUCCACGAUUAUUGGGCUUAAAGCGCUCGUAGCCGGCUGAUGCCGUCUCGCGUGAAAUAUUGGCGCUCAACGUCAAUGCGUGCGCGAGAUACCCAUCGGCUAGGGAGCGGGUGAGGUCAGGAGUACUUAUGGGGGAGGGGUUAAAUCCUGUAAUCCUAUAAGGACUAACGGUGGCGAAGGCGCCUGACUAGAACGCAUCCGACGGUGAGGAGCGAAGGCUAGGAGAACGAAUCGGAUCAGAUACCCGAGUAGCCCUAGCAGUAAAUUAUGCAGACUCUGGUGUUGCAAGUAUCACGAAUGCUUGCAGUACCGUAGCGUAAGUGUUAAGUCUGCCGCCUGGGGAGUACGGCCGCAAGGUUGAAACUUAAAGCAAUUGGCGGGGGAGCACACAAGGGGUGGAUGCUGCGGUUUAAUUGAAUCCAACGUCGGAAAUAUUACCAGAAGCGACGGCAGUGUGAAGGUCAGACUGAAGAUCUUACCUGACAAGCCGAGAGGUAGUGCAUGGCGACCGUCAGCUCGUGGUGUGAACUGUCCGGUUAAGUCCGGUAAGUCUAUGAGUGAUACAAUGACACAAAAGCUAAGACUAACGCCUGAUACAAGCUACAUGCUUGGAAUAUACAGGUGCAACAGGGGAAAGCGGAUUGAACUGUCCUCAAGCGACGAUGAUAUGAUUGCAAGGUUUGCCAAGCUCGCAAUGGACGAGUUCGGCAUUGAGCCUAACAAGAUAAUCAUCGACAGCGAGGGCAAGGUCAAGAAAACUUUCUUCUACAACUCCACGAUGGUGAAAAGGUUUGAAAAGGCGCUUGAAAGAAGAGUAAACAUAUUCAAGUACGCCAAUGCAUAUUCCGGAAAUUACUUCGCGGCGCUGUUCGACUGCAACGGAGGCAAGGAUGCUAAAGGCAUCUUUCUGAAGGGCAUGGACAGCGUUGACGAGGUAGUACUC
rnacentral:rRNA from 3 species